GUUGGAUGCUCUCGGUGGGAUUCGGUAAACGUUGACUUCAGGUUUGACACAGAGGACCGACUCAUACUCGAACUGACCCUCGGUCGCCAUCUUGACUUUCCUCGGUUGAUACACGCCGGUGGUGGUGACGCAUCCUCAGGCCCUCGCUGUCAGUGCCCUCAAAAUCACAAAAGUAAAGGCGGGAGACAAAGAUCCUGAGACGGAGAUUGGGUGUCUGGCUGAGGAACUGGGCCAGUCUGAAGGAACAGUUGGCACAGGGAGACCAGGAGCAGAACCAGGUCUUCCUUGCAUGCCCCUUCACAUACCUCUACAUGGCAGCCAUUGCGAUUGCGGAGAUGCCCAAAGUCAAAUGACAAGGAGUCUGGUCCCACACGUCUCUUUACAACAAAGCAGAGACUCUGGACAAGCAGUCGACCCAGGCCCUCCCUGCGGUACCAGCAGCUCGUCACCAACCUGCAGAUCCUCCUGAUACCUGCUCGCUUCUCACUCUCUCGGAAGAUGCAG